CCAAAACAUAUGUCUGAUCAAUCUAAGACAUCUUCUAACUAUGGUCGAGCAACUUAUUUGACUCAUAGUUCACACAUGAUCACUUCUUCGUCCACCUCGUACUUCAAAACUUCUCGAUCGAUCCUUAUCGCCCGCGACUCGACCACCACAAAGAUAUUCGACCAUUAUUAUUAUUUUUUUAACGGGUGUCUACAUUCUCCCUCCGCCCUUAAUAGAAUUCGUCCUCGAAUUCUUAGUUGUGCAAUUGCUCAUCUUCACGACAUCCUCCACUCGUCUCCAUAUAUCUUUACGUUGUCCACAAUCGUUCCUUAAGUGUCCUCCUCAAGGCCUCCACAAUCGUCUUCAGUUGAAUGAUCGCUGGAUCAUCUCAUACUGUUUCUCUGCCAUAAGACUCUGAUUCCCCAUGAUACGAACUUGUCCAGAUUCCUCAAAUCCUUCUCGAUCUUCCUUUUCCCAA
rnacentral:lncRNA from 1 species